UACGGGGGGGGCAAGCGUUGUUCGGAAUUACUGGGCUUAAAGGGUGCGUAGGCGGUCCCGUAAGUGUCUCGUGAAAGCCCCCGGCUCAACCGGGGAACCGCGGGGCAUACUGCAGGACUUGAGGAAGCUAGAGGCCGGUGGAACGAUCGGUGGAGCGGUGGAAUGCGUAGAGAUCGAGAGGAACACUUGUUGCGAAAGCGAGAUCCUGGGCAGAAACUGACGCUGAAACACGAAGGCCAGGGGAGCGAACGGG
rnacentral:rRNA from 1 species